rnacentral:misc_RNA from 1 species
UUUGCCCAUUUUUUCAAGCUGAUUCUGCAGCAUACAGGAUAACAAGGAAACAAGCAAAGGACCAUUGAUUGUCAAAUGGUAAAAGUAUAUAAAAAUAGUAUAUAUUUAUAUAUAUUAGAUGAAGAGAAAUGAAAAGGAUGUAUGUAAUACUCACAUUCACAUACUACAUACAACAAGUAUAUAUUUAUCAACCCAUAAUCUAAGUAGAAAAUUUAAUGAGAAAUUUAGGAUAAAACAACAAUGUCCAGCAAGAAAAGGCCGUGAUGCUUUGUGCACAUACAUAGACUUGAACAUGAUUACAUUAACAACUAGUAGCAAUCAUGUAUUGGCUUAACUCAUAAUAGAGCUCCUAAGCUUCAGGAAAGUAACCUACUGAAACCACCUAAAUGAGCCAUUAGCCUACAAAUUAAACACAUAUUGAACCUGGUCAAGCUUUGCUGGAAACAUACUGCAAAUGAGGACAGCCACAUCAAUAUAAAACAUUCCCACUAGUAAAAGCCAUAAAAUUUGACAAAGAAUUACCCUCUCUCUUCCAAAGUUCAUCCUGAAUAAAAGUUGGCGCACAAAACCAAAAUGGGCAACAGUGUUACCAUCAAGAAAAAAUUUUGAGCCCGAGUAAAGCUCAUUGUUCCUCCUUAAUAGUUUGAUCGUUAAUAUUCUAACGAGCAACUUCGAACUGGAAAAAUCCCGUCACCAGAAAUUCAAGAAAAAAACUUUUCAUAAGUCUAAAACAAAGAAAUGUGGAGAAGCACGAACAAGGACAACAAAAACAAGAAUAAUUCUGACUGAAAAAUCAUAGAAUAAAAAAAAAUAGAAAUUAAAAUAUCUAAAAAUUAACACGAAAACGAAGAGAAAAGAAGCGAUGUAUCAACAGCCACGCUCUUAAUCCUUUCCCUAAUCUCAGCUAAAAAGUCUAACCAAAGAGAGAGAGAGAGACAGA